rnacentral:lncRNA from 1 species
GUAGUGUGGUGAUGAUGGAUUAUAUCACCAUCAUUGACAGAAAGGAAAUAGCAUAAAGUAUAUUAUAGCAAAAUAUGUGAUCAGAAAAAGAGGUGGGGGAGAUCAGAGGCAAGAAUGAGAGAUAAUAAUUGGUUAGUCCACAUGGUGAUUAUGCAAACAAUGGCAAGAGAUUUAAAGGAAAAUCACUAGCUUGAUGGAUGGACUCUCUGGGGGAUUUAUGGGAAAAUGAGGAGAGAGUCACAUAAAACCGGCAGGCAUGAAUAGAUUGUGAUCUGCAUACUGGAUUUUUGUAUGAAUAAUACUCCCAUCAGCGAGAUCACAGCUCCAUUCACAUACUAAAAUGAUGGGGAAAGAUUUAAAUAUGUAGAUUAAGUUGUAGUCGGUGGCAUUCAAAUAGAACUAGUGGUGGAAUCCCAGUUAAGAGUAUACUCUGGAAUCCUUAUGUGGAGGGCAAAAUAAAUCAAAAUUCAUUUUCUUCCUCUUUUUUAUAUCUCUCAGGUUGGAAAUACUAGGGCUAUUCAACAGCCAGAUCCCUCUGUGAUUGGCAAUGAACCUGCUGUUUUUGACAAAGGGGAGAGAAGUAUUAGCAUCUGGGAGGACCAGAAAAACCCCUGUGUAAUCCUACUGUAAUUGAAGAGUAAUAAACUAUGACUGAUUUAUCCA